AGCAGCCGCGGUAAUUCCAGCUCCAAUAGCGUAUAUUAAAGUUGUUGCAGUUAAAAAGCUCGUAGUUGAACUUCGGAAUUUGCCCAUUGGUCAGGCUUAACUGUCUGCACUGGUGUGACGAGUUCCUACCUUCUGAGGAAUCUCCAUGUCAUUCAGUUGGUGUGGGGGGAAAUCAGGACUGUUACUUUGAAAAAAUUAGAGUGUUUAAAGCAGGCGUCCGUCUGAAUACAUUAGCAUGGAAUAAUAAAAUAGGACGGUUUGGUUCUAUUUUGUUGGUUUCUAGGAUCACCGUAAUGAUUAAUAGGGAUAGUUGGGGGCAUUAGUAUUCAAUUGUCAGAGGUGAAAUUCUUGGAUUUAUUGAAGACUAACUACUGCGAAAGCAUUUGCCAAGGAUGUUUUCAUUAAUCAAGAACGAAAGUUAGGGGAUCGAAGACGAUCAGAUACCGUCGUAGUCUUAACCAUAAACUAUGCCGACUAGGGAUCGGACGAAGUUAAUUUUUAAUGACUCGUUCGGCACCUU
rnacentral:rRNA from 1 species